CAUGUCUUUAUGAUUAUAAUUUAAAGUCUAAUCUGCACAAUGAAAAUUUUAAUUGCCGCAGUAUAUUGACUGUGCAAAGGUAGCAUAAUAAUUAGCUUUUUGAUUAGGAGCUGGUAUGAAUGAUUGGACGAGAAAAUUUCUGUUUCUUAUUAAAUAAUUUUUUAAUUUUAUUUUUAAGUUAAAAAGCUUAAAUGAUUAUAAAAGACGAGAAGACCCUAUAGAGUUUAAUAUUUUUUGAUAAUUUUAUAUUAGAAUAAAUUUUUAUUAUUAAGUAUUUAAUUGGGGUGAUAGGAAGAUUUAAAAAAUUCUUUGUAUUUUAAUUGAUGAUUAUUAAAUUUUUUAUCUAAUUGUUUUAAAUAAAAAAUUAAUUACCUUAGGGAUAACAGCGUAAUUUUUCUUUAAAGCUCAUAUUAAAAGAAAAUUUUGCGACCUCGAUGUUGGAUUAAAAUUAAUUUUUGGUGCAGUAACUUAAAAAUUGGGUCUGUUCGACCUUUGAAAUUUUACAUGAUCUGAGUUUAAACCGGUGUAAGCCAGGUUGGAUUCUAUCUUUAGAUUAAUUAUAUAUUUUAGUACGAAAGGACCUGAUAUAUAUUAUAUAUUAA
rnacentral:rRNA from 1 species